GGGCGACCGCUGGCUGGCUCCGGUCAGUCAGGGUCUGUCCAUCCGUCAGGGAACUAUACUCGUCCUUCACUGGACGGUAUAGGGAACUGACAUUUUACUUUGAAAAAAUUAGAGUGUUUCAGGCAGGCAAUCGCUGGAAUACAUUAGCAUGGAAUAAUGGAAUAGGACUUUGGUUCAUUUUGUUGGUUAUUGUACCAAAGUA
rnacentral:rRNA from 1 species